CUUCUCAGUUGAUUCUUCGGAUGAAACAGAGUUGCGGAAAGCGGCGGACGGGUGAGUAACGCGUAGGCAACCUGCCCCUUGCAGAGGGAUAGCCUCGGGAAACCGGGAUUAAAACCUCAUAAUGCGGCACCGAGACAUCUCGGAGCCGCCAAAGAUUUAUCGGCACGGGAUGGGCCUGCGUCUGAUUAGUUAGUUGGUGGGGUAACGGCCUACCAAGGCGACGAUCAGUAGCCGACCUGAGAGGGUGAUCGGCCACAUUGGAACUGAGACACGGCCCAGACUCCUACGGGAGGCAGCAGUAGGGAAUUUUCGGCAAUGGGCGAAAGCCUGACCGAGCAACGCCGCGUGAGUGAAGACGGCCUUCGGGUUGUAAAGCUCUGUUGUAAGGGAAGAACACACUGGAUAGAAUCGAGUGCUGACGGUACCUUACCAGAAAGCCACGGCUAACUACGUGCCAGCAGCCGCGGUAAUACGUAGGUGGCGAGCGUUAUCCGGAAUUAUUGGGCGUAAAGGGUGCGUAGGCGGCGAAUUAAGUUUGUGGUGAAAGCGUGGGGCUCAACCCCAUAAAGCCACAGAUACUGAUUUGCUAGAGUACUGGAAAGGGAAGUGGAAUUCCAUGUGUAGCGGCAAAAUGCGUAGAUAUAUGGAGGAACACCAGUGGCGAAGGCGGCUUCCUGGCCAGAGACUGACGCUGAGGCACGAAAGCGUGGGGAGCAAAUAGGAUUAGAUACCCUAGUAGUCCACGCCGUAAACGAUGAAUGCUAAGUGUUGGGGAGACUCAGUGCUGCAGUUAACGCAAUAAGCAUUCCGCCUGUGGAGUAUGCACGCAAGUGUGAAACAUAAAGGAAUUGACGGGGGCCCGCACAAGCGGUGGAGUAUGUGGUUUAAUUCGAAGCAACGCGAAGAACCUUACCAGGCCUUGACAUCCCUUGCAAAGUCGUAGAGAUACGAUAGAGGUUAUCAAGGUGACAGGUGGUGCAUGGUUGUCGUCAGCUCGUGUCGUGAGAUGUUGGGUUAAGUCCCGCAACGAGCGCAACCCUUGUCUUUAGUUACCAAUAUCAAGUUAGGGACUCUAGAGAGACUGCCGGUGAUAAACCGGAGGAAGGUGGGGAUGACGUCAAAUCAUCAUGCCCCUUAUGGCCUGGGCUACACACGUACUACAAUGGCUGUUACAACGAGAAGCGACAUAGUGAUAUGAAGCAAAUCUCUGAAAGGCAGUCUCAGUUCGGAUUGAAGUCUGCAACUCGACUUCAUGAAGUUGGAAUCGCUAGUAAUCGCGGAUCAGCAUGCCGCGGUGAAUACGUUCUCGG
rnacentral:rRNA from 1 species